ACUAUCUUAUAGCCUGCAGCUACAAGAAAUUAUUUUAAGGUUACACGAAAUAUUACAUUACGAAAUAUUACAUUACGAAAUCUACAAGAAAUAUUUUAGGCCGCGUAACUGUAGGAUUACCUCAGUGCUAAAAAUCUAAUGGCGCUUUCUCUGUUGAGUUCAAGAGCUUCUUCAAAUCGAAUGAUCUUUUUACAAUGGAAACGAAAUUUAUCGAUAAAAGACAUAGCUGUUCAGUUGGUUACUACUCGAAAAAAAAUUGAUCAAACAGUUUUACAAAAAAUAGAGGAGCAAGACAAGGAAAAUAUAAUUAAUGCAAAUAUUUAUAAAUGCUCAGAAUAUUACAAGUACAACGAUAUGUCUUUCUAUGACAUUGAAAAAGACAUUGCUGCUUGCAGUUACCGCCAGCCUCAACCUGUUUCAAAUCUUUAAAUACUUAUUGUUUUAUGGCCUUUUUGUUAAAUCACUAUUAAGUAAUUAACAAAUAUCAGUUAUGCA